UGACAGUGAGGUAUCUUUCUACUGGUUGGUCUUGGUCGAAGAAGAACAAACCUUGCAGUAUAUAUCGCAUCUCCCAGAAAGCAUGCAGACGAAGGAAAAGCGGGGAACAAAGGUUGCUACAAAAAUUUUAUCAUCUGGCAGAAAGAAAAUGCAUACCACGUUCUGUUAUUUUGAAACAAGCUGCUGAGAACCAUUAUGCAUGCCUCCGUUGUGUAACGAUAGCACUUUCGGAUUGCAGCAGAGGUCCAUGUUCGAAUCUCAGCGAGGGCAUUUCUCAUUUUUCACCUUUCCUGCUCCAAAAUAACCUAAUGCCUCUACAGUGAAG